rnacentral:lncRNA from 1 species
UUUUUUUUUUUUUUUUCCUUUUUAGGGUCUCAGCCAUGACAUGUGGAAGUUCCCAGGCUAGGGGUCGAAAUGGCGCUGAAGCUGCCAGUGUACACCGCAGCCACAGCAAUGCUGGAUCCAAGCCACCUCUGUGAUCUACACGACAGUGCCUGCAACACCGCAUCCUUAACCCACUGAGCGAGGCCAGGGAUUAAACCCGCAUCCUCAUGGAUCCUCCUCUGAGGUUUGUUACUGCAGAGUCACAACGGGAACUCCCAACAGCUUGUUCUUUGAGAUGUAGCCUCCAGAACCGGUUUCUGUGGUUUAAGCCGCCCAGUCUGUGAUACUUGGUCAUGGCUGCUGAGCAGACAAGACCAACCAGCAAUGCGUCCAGUUUCUCACAACCCCUGCUCCUGCGCAGAAGAGCCAGGAGCGAUGCCUCCGUCCAUCUUCGCAGAGGAGCAGCAAGGCCUGUGCCUGGUGUUCCCUCAUCCUCUUGGCCUUCUUCCCUCUUCCCGACCCCUUAGCCCCUCCAGGCUUCUCUUCCUUCCACUCAUCCCCCUAAGGGUCACUUCAUAGUUAGCAAAUGAUUGUCUGCUCUGGAAUUAAGGAGGGAGCCUAAUAUUCCUAAAAGGUCUUGGUGAUGUUUAGAAAUAGCUGGGCUUGGAGUUCCUGUCGUGGCUCAGUGGUUAAUGAAUCCGACUAGGAAUCAUGAGGUUGCGGGUUCAAUCCCUGGCCUUGCUCAGUGGGUUGAGGAUCCAGUGUUGCCGUGAGCUGUGGUGUAGGUCACAGACGCGGCUCAGAUAGAUCCCGCGUUCCUGUGGCUCUGGUGUAGGUGGGUGGCUACAGCUCUGAUUCAACCCCUAGCCUGGAGAACCUCCAUAUGCCACGGGAGCGGCCCAAGAAAUGGCAAAAAGACAAAAAAAAAAGUAGCUGGGCUUGGCCAGUGUCCUGGGUAUGAGACCCCAGGCAAAUCCUGUCUCUGGAUCCUGAAAUAAGGUGGAUGGGUGAAAGCAUCCCUCAAUUCCUUCCUAUCUCAGCAGAUUCUAAGAUUCUAAGCCAUUAUCACAUUCAAGGGCCUCUGAGUACUGAGGUCGCACAGGAAGGAAUCGUUCUCUGAGAUGGAGAAGUUCUGGCCAGCUGCCCUUCCCUGCGGCCUUCAAAUCACCCUUGAGUGCGCAGGUGACCGUGCUACCACUCAGCAGUCUCGGAGUCUCCUGCUUUGUGGCACUUUUUGAAACAGCAAAUGUAUUCAGAGGUGCGGAUGUGCAAAUUCAGAAGUCCCCCUGGAAAGUUGGGAUUAGCAAGAAAGAGGAGGAGCCUCUGUGAUGUUCCUUCUGGUUGGAAAAAAAAUAAAAACAAGGCAUAACACGUCAGGGAAGACACUGCUGAGCGCUGUGUCCCGAGCGUGCAGUGCGGGGAAGCAUCUUCAUUUCCCUGCAGACGUGCCACAGUUUGAAAACCUAACCUUCAUUUCGGCGGGGGACUCAAACACUGUGUGAGCGACCAGAGCAAGCUCCUGGUUCUCGCUGCCGCCAGCUGCCACACCAGUCAAGGUGGCAGACCCUCCCGAACCGGGUCUGAAACCAAGAGCCUCUGAGGCCACAGGGAGAUAAGAACUAUCUCUUGCUUCUCACUCUUCUCUUAUAAAGCUGUACACCUUAGAAUAUAUAUAAAUUGAAAUUAUAGGAGUUUCCAUUGUGGCUCAGCCGUAACGAACCAGACUAGUAUACAUGAGAACUUGGGUUCGAUCCCUGGCCCCACUCAGUGGGUUAAGGAUCUGGUAUUGACGUGAGCUGUGGUGUAGGUGUCACAGACACGGCUCAGAUCUGGCGUUGCUGUGACUGCGGUGUAGGCUGGCAGCUGCAGGUCCCAUUCAACCCUUAGCCUGGGAACAUCCAUAUGCCACAGGUGCAGCCCUAAAAAAAAAAAAAAAGAAAGAAAAAGGAAAUUACAUUGAGGAUGAAAGGGACUUCAAGGAAAUAUUUGUUGGGCGCUUGACUGCAUGAUGCACUUUUCCGGGUGCAUCCCGAUCCCCAGUUGCUUGUGAGUUUUGGGGUCUCCUCCUUGGUGCUUAGUAUGUUCAUUGUUGGGUGUGUUUUCCGCCACCAAAUUUGUGGGAGGUUUUCACACCAGCACUCAAAUUCUCCAACACCCACAACUUGAUUCAAUUCCGACACUAACUCCUGCAGUUAGCAUCUUACAAGACGGCCUCCACUUCAGACGCCAGACACCCGACAUGACGUGCUCGGGCUACACACACCGCUGCUUGGCUAACUGGAGAUUUGAGGGUUCCCACAACCACUCCCCUCAGGCCCCAUAAUUGGCUAGAAUGACUCAUAGAAUUCAGGAAAACACUGUUUGCCAGGCUAUUACAAGGGCUACAACUCAGAAACAGCCUCAUGGAAGAAAUACACAAGGCAAAAUAUGAGGGGAAGCGGUGCGUGGAGUUUCAUGUCCUCUCUACCCCCAUCACCUGCUUGGAAGCUCCUGGGUCCCCUUGUUUCUGUAACCCAUCUCCAGGCCCUCCCCUUCCAGGUCUUUCUGGGGACCUACCUCCAUCUUGAAGCUCUCUAGGGGGGUCCCACCCUGAGUGACUUCAUUAGCAAAAACUCAGGUGUGGUCAAAGGGGGCUCUUUAUAAAUAACAGAAGAUGAUCUUGGCGUUCCCUGGUGGCACAAUGGGUUAAGGAUCUGGCGUUGCCGCUGCUAGGGCAUGGAUUCGAUUCCUGGCCCCAGAACUUCUUCAUGCCAGGGGUGCAGCAAAAAAAAAAAAAGGGAUGACCCUACAGGAUAACAAAAAGCAGAAGUACAGUGCCCUUGGCACCUCUGCAGCAGAGAAGCCUGCCUCUUGCAUAUGCAGGAGCUCGCCAGAAACUGCAUCUAAGAGACAGUGUGCAGUGGCAAUGCAUCCGCAUCAGGGAAGCAUCAGAGCAGGUCGGCAGCCCUGCUGCGGCAGGUCAUCAAUUAUGCAGUAGGAUUUGGCUGCCUUUCAGAAGCUCCUCUCUCCACAUUCCAAGGGCUUCAGUGUUAGCACGGCCGUCUCCGCUCUCUCCAAAGUGGCUGGCUCAGAGAGGCCUGCCUGGGCCACCUCGGCUCCCUGCUGUCAGAGGUCCUCACCUGUUGGUAACUGACCCUGAGAUUAUCCAAGGAAGCACAGCUCAAUAUUUGGGGCUCAGAAAUCCCCAACCUCUCAGCUGGGGAACCUCAAGAGAUGGUCUUGUUCAUGUGUGGCGUUCGUGCUUACAUGGAGACCAGCCAAGGCUGGAGAUGCUCUAUUUCACCUCUGAUUCAGUUCCCAUCUGUGGGGACAAUAGCUGACCUAUUGUUUUCUCUACCGCGAAAGUAGAGAGGCCUGGGUGAAACUGAAGUCCCACUGCCCCAUCGGUCCAUUUUGAUUCUGAUACUGGUCUCUAUUUAUGUAAUGUCUGUGCCUACCUCAUCCUCUGUCCUAGCAAGACACAAGCAGGAAAUAUGAGGGGGACCAACUAGGAUAGUUUUCCUAGGACUGAAUUUCCUAAGACACACGACUUUCAGUGCUAAACCCAGCAAAGUCCAAGUUCCAGGCAAACCAGGAUGAACUGAUCACCCAAGGAAAUGGCCAGGACUGGCCUGAAGCAAAUAUAAUGUCAGUGAGAGGUUUAUGAGGCUAGAUUCAGAGGCCGGUUUUGUUUGCAAGGUUGUUAUACUAUUUUCUUGAAUUUGGCGAUAAAUAAUGGUGUGGAGUUACACCAAAAUGAAUCAAUAUAGCGGUAGAAAGAGCAAGUGUAGAGACUCCAGAAUAAAAAAUAAUCCACAAAAAUGUAAGAUUCCUGAGAGCUGGAACCGUGAUUUCUGUAUCCUUCUCACCCAAUACAAUGCAUAGGAUAUAAUUGAUGUGCAAUAAAUAUUUGCUAAAUAAAUGAGUAAACAAACUCAUGAGUGAACAAAAAGGUCCAGUUCUGACUCUGGCAUAAGUAGGUGUGUGGCAUUAGUGAAAUUUUUUAAGCCUCUAUUUCUUCAUCUAUAAAAUGGGGAUGAUAAUGGGAGCUCCCAUUGUGGCUCGGCAGGCUAAGGACCCAAUGUUGUCUCCCUGAAGACGCAGGUUCCAUCUCGGGCCUCGCUCAGUGGGUUAAGGAUCCGGUGUUGCUGCAAGCUGCAGCACAAGUCACAGAAGCAGCUCAGAUCCAAUGUGGCUGUGGCUGGGGCGUUGGUGUAGGCUGCCACUGCAGCUUUGACCUCUGACCUAGGAACUUCCAUGUGCUGCAGGUGCGGCCGUAACGCAAACAAAAAUAUUUUUUAAAAUGUGAGAUAAUCAUAAUUAGCCACUUUAUAGUUGUUAUGGGCUCAAUUGUAUCCCUUCAAAAUUCAUAUGUUAAAUUUCUAACUCCAGUACCUCAGAACGUAACUUUAUUUGGAGAUAAGGUCUUUAAAGAGGUAAUUAAGUUAAAAUGAAGCCAUUAGGAUGGGCCCUAAUCCAAUCUGAUUUAUAAGAGGAGAAGGUUUGGACACAUGGAGAGAGAAACCAGACAGUGGCACACAGAGGCAAGUCCAUGUGAGGUCACAGCCAAAGGACAGCCAUCUGCAAGCCGAGAAGUCUUGGUAGAAACCAAACCUGCCAGCACCUUGACUUUGGACUUCUCACCUCCGGAACUGUGGGGAAAUUCAUUUCUGUUGUUUAAGCCACUCAGUCUGAGGUAGCAACCCCAGCAAAUGAAUGCAAUAAUGAUUAAAAGGCAUCACACACAUAAAUCACCCAGCAUAUGAAGGCUCGGUCAAAUUUCUUGUCCUGAUUACUAUUUACUAUUAGUAAAAAUAUCUGUGCAGGGCAGUGAAAAAAUACACAGUGUGUAUCAAACCGUACAGAAAGGAUCAGUAGAGGAGUUCCCGUUGUGGCUCAGUAGAAACGAAUCUGACUAGCAUCCAUGAGGACGCAGGUUCCAUCCCUGGCUUCACUCAGUGGGUUAGGGAUCUGGCAUUGCCAUGAGCUAUGGUGUAGGUCACAGAUGGAGCUUAGAUUCCACGUUGCUGUGGCUGUGGCGUAGGCCAGCAGCUACAGCUCUGAUUCGACCCCUAGCCUGAGAACCUCCAUAUACUGCAGAUGCGGUCCUUAAAAAAAAAAAAAAAAGGAUCCAUAGACCUGUGGUCCACAGUGGAGGAUCUUGGGGAGACGAGAAACGUCCCCUGUUCUGCAUACCAACCACCAUCGCCGAAGAGUCUGUGGGUCAGUAAACAACAUUCUAGCGUAAAGCUUCUCAGACUUUAAGCGGCGUGUGAAUCACCGGAGGAUCUUGUUAAAAUGCAGAUUCUGACUCAGUGGGUCAGGGGUGGGGCC